ACGCGAGCUGGGUUCAGAACGUCGUGAGACAGUUCGGUCCCUAUCUGCCGUGGGUGUUGGAAACUUGAGAGGAUUUGUCCUUAGUACGAGAGGACCGGGAUGAACAUACCUCUGGUGGACCUGUUGUGGCGCCAGCCGCAUUGCAGGGUAGCUAUGUAUGGACGGGAUAACCGCUGAAUGCAUCUAAGCGGGAAACCCACCUCAAAACCAGGUUUCCCUUGAGAGCCGUUCUAGACUAGAACGUCGAUAGGCCGGGUGUGGAAGUGCGGCGACGCAUGGAGCUAACCGGUACUAAUUGCUCGAUUGGCUUGAUCUUUAGAAGCUC
rnacentral:rRNA from 1 species